rnacentral:rRNA from 1 species
ACGGCUCAGUAACACGUGGCUAACCUACCCUUGAGACGAAGACAACCCCGGGAAACUGGGGCUAAUCCCCGAUAGAUGAGAACUCCUGGAACGGGUUCUCGUCCAAAAGGCAUCAAGGCCAUGCUUCUUGGUGUCGCUCAAGGAUGGGGCCGCGACCGAUCAGGCUGUUGGUGAGGCAACGGCUCACCAAACCUAUAACCGGUACGGGCCGUGGGAGCGGGAGCCCGGAGAUGGGAACUGAGACAAGGUCCCAGGCCCUACGGGGCGCAGCAGUUGCGAAAACUCCGCAAUGCACGAAAGUGUGACGGGGCUACCCCGAGUGCCGUCCGCUGAGGAUGGCUUUUCCCUGGUGUAAGGAGCCGGGGGAAUAAGGAGAGGGCAAGUCUGGUGUCAGCCGCCGCGGUAAUACCAGCUCUCCGAGUGGUAGGGAUGAUUAUUGGGCUUAAAGCGUCCGUAGCCUGCCCUUCAAGUCUCUCGUUAAAUCCAGCGAUUCAAUCGGUGGACUGCGGGAGAUACUGUUAGGCUAGGAGGCGGGAGAAGCCGACGGUAUUUCCGGUGUAGGGGUAAAAUCCUAUAAUCCCGGGAGGACCACCAGUGGCGAAGGCGGUCGGCUAGAACGCGCUCAACGGUGAGGGACGAAAGCUGGGGGAGCAAACCGGAUUAGAUACCCGGAUAGUCCCAGCUGUAAACGAUGCGGGCUAGGUGUUGGAGUGGCCAAGAGCCACUUCAGUGCCGCAGGGAAGCCAUUAAGCCCGCCGCCUGGGGAGUACGGCCGCAAGGCUGAAACUUAAAGGAAUUGGCGGGGGAGCA